CUUCCAGACUUGGGGAGUGGGAAUCGAUUCAAGAUACUGAGUUCUCACUGCGAGACAUGAGUUCAUUUGUGUCAUGGAUCUUUCCCUUGCAGUGUGACGUAGCACCGUUAUGAUAAUGUAAAAGCAGAAGAAAACCCACAAAACCAAACAGCUUACUAGAGCUGAAUUUGUCUUCAGAUACCGUGCAGUAGAAGGCAUGAAAGCACUGAUUUCCUUUUAACUCGGGGGAGAGGUGUUGUUCCCGCUCUCCAGAAGGGAAGAAGGAAGAAGGGAAGAACUCCUGCCUACUGUAUUGCAUGCCCUGUUUGUUCACCUGCCCUCUGAGUACACGUCUGUGUUGCACAGUGCUCAACCCAAGCUAGUAUCAGUCUCUGCAAAAGAAUUAAAUUAGGACUCUGUGCUAAUGUGACUAGGCAGUGUUUGGAAAGAAGCUGGCUGGGUCAAAGCACCUGGAGUGGAUGUGAGACUGCCUCUCCUGCUCUGAGCUGUGCCACACAUCCUGAGCAGUGUGCACACUGCCACAGCAUUGUAGGGGAGAAGAGUAAACAGCAUCUCCAGAGUGGUACUUUGCUAUUAACUCACGCUCCUAUUUUGUUUGGGGUCUACUACUUAGAACGGUGCUGAAACAAAGAUGUUCUUGUGCUGACUUCUUUAUUGCAAUAUAGAUGUAUGCUGCUGUGUGUACCUUUCUAGGCCAACAGGCUGUAAAAUUGACUCUUGAUUUUGAGGGAGUAGAUAUUGAUGGAUUUAUGCCUUUUUUCUUUUCUAUGACAAACACAGCUUCUUGGGUAGUAGAUUGCAAGGAACGGUAAAAUGGUCACAGAGUUAUUGCCCCUGCCAAAGCUUGAAGAGCUGCAUUCAUGGGGGCUCCUUCCUGGAGACACCAAGUGGGCAGGAGGACAAAUGGCGUCUCUCAGCGGGCCCUUCUGGCCGUGCAUUACUGAUACCCUUGAAAACAACAGAAGGAUACAGGGAAAAUCUUUUAAAUAGGGAUACGUGUACUGCAGUGAAGAUAUAAUUAUUCACCUGGAUAUGUGACAACAGUCUCAUAUCUUUGAAACUGCAGUCUUGGAUGGGCUACACAGCUGAUAAAUCCCAGGGAGCUAUUCUGUACAAUCUCAUGAGGAGCUGGGCUGGGUGAAGCUUAUGUGUGUUGUGGGGCAGUGUCAGAGCCCCUGGGUGACAGUGUAGGUAAAAUAGAACAUUUCGAGAAGGCACUGAUGUGUUCAUGCUCACCUCACAAGCAGCUGAUGGCUUAUGCAGCUGUUUAGGUCUCCAAUGUCAGAUGUGGUACCGGACCCCUUGGCUCACCAUCCUGUUUUAUUCUGGGGUGACCUGUUUGCAAGUCUCUGAAGUUACUACAUGAAGGUGAAUCACUGCUUUAGUGGGAACCACUGCUUCUCUGAGUAUCUCUGAGACUGUUAUUCUUGUCUAAAAACUGUAAAACUGUCAGUUUUACUUCCUGU
rnacentral:lncRNA from 7 species